GUCUAUGUAGUAUACUA
rnacentral:tRNA from 1 species